rnacentral:snRNA from 1 species
GGAUGUGAGGGCGAUCUGGCUGCGACAUCUGUCACCCCAUUGAUCGCCAGGGUUGAUUCGGCUGAUCUGGCUGGCUAGGCGGGUGUCCCCUUCCUCCCUCACCGCUCCGUGUGCGUCCCUCCCGAAGCUGCGCGCUCGGUCGAAGAGGACGACCUUCCCCGAUAGAGGAGGACCGUUCUUCGGUCAAGGGUAUACGAGUAGCUGCGCUCCCCUGCUAGAACCUCCAAACAAGCUCUCAAGGUCCAUUUGUAGGAGAACGUAGGGUAGUCAAGCUUCCAAGACUCCAGACACAUCCAAAUGAGGCGCUGCACGUGGCAGUCUGCCUUUCUUU